rnacentral:rRNA from 1 species
UGGGGAAUAUUGCACAAUGGAGGGAACUCUGAUGCAGCGACGCCGCGUGAGUGAUGAAGGAAUUCGUUUCGUAAAACUCUGUUCUAUGGGAAGAAAAGGACUGUACCAUAGGAGAAAGCUCCGGCUAAAUACGUGCCAGCAGCCGCGGUAAUACGUAUGGAGCGAGCGUUGUCCGGAAUUAUUGGGCGUAAAGGGUGCGCAGGCGGCUUUACAAGUUGGAUGUGAAAUAUUGAGGCUCAACCACAAACGUGCAUCCAAAACUGCAAAGCUUGAGUUAAGGAGAGGUAAGUGGAAUUCCUGGUGUAGCGGUGGAAUGCGUAGAUAUCAGGAGGAAUACCGGUGGCGAAGGCGACUUACUGGACUUAAACUGACGCUCAGGCACGAAAGCGUGGGGAGCAAACAGG